rnacentral:rRNA from 1 species
AGUGAACGCUGGCGGCGUGCUUAACACAUGCAAGUCGAACGAGAACGGAUUAUAGCUUGCUAUAAUUGUCAGCUAAGUGGCGCACGGGUGAGUAAUGUAUAGGUAAUAUGCCUCUUACUAAGGGAUAACAAUUGGAAACGUUUGCUAAUACCUUAUACUCCUUAUUAACAUAAGUUAAUAAGGGAAAGAUGUAUUGGUAAGAGAUUGGCCUGUAUUGUAUCAGUUAGUUGGUGGGGUAAUGGCUUACCAAGACUAUGACACAUAACUGGUUUGAAAGGAUGAUCAGUCAAAAUGGAACUGAGACACGGUCCAGACGCCUACGGGAGGCAGCAGUGGGGAAUAUUGCACAAUGGACGAAAGUCUGAUGCAGCAACGCCGCGUGGAGGAUGACACAUUUCGGUGCGUAAACUCCUUUUAUAUGAGAAGAUAAUGACGGUAUUAUAUGAAUAAGCACCGGCUAACUCCGUGCCAGCAGCCGCCGUAA